rnacentral:rRNA from 1 species
CCUACGGGAGGCUGCAGUGGGGAAUAUUGGACAAUGGGCGAAAGCCUGAUCCAGCCAUGCCGCGUGUGUGAAGAAGGCCUUCGGGUUGUAAAGCACUUUCAGUGGGGAAGAAAGCCUUGGGGCUAAUACCCUCGAGGAAGGACAUCACCCACAGAAGAAGCACCGGCUAACUCCAUGCCAGCAGCCGCGGUAAUACGGAGGGUGCGAGCGUUAAUCGGAAUUACUGGGCGUAAAGCGCGCGUAGGCGGUCUGAUAAGCCGGUUGUGAAAGCCCCGGGCUCAACCUGGGAACGGCAUCCGGAACUGUCAGGCUAGAGUGCAGGAGAGGAAGGUAGAAUUCCCGGUGUAGCGGUGAAAUGCGUAGAGAUCGGGAGGAAUACCAGUGGCGAAGGCGGCCUUCUGGACUGACACUGACGCUGAGGUGCGAAAGCGUGGGUAGCAAACAGGAUUAGAUACCCUUGUAGUC